GGAGAGGUGGCCGAGUGGCCGAAGGCGCUUGAUUGCUAAUCAGGUGACUCCUCACAAGGGGGUCCGCGGGUUCGAAUCCCGCCCUCUCCGCCA
rnacentral:tRNA from 1 species